UACGUAGGGUGCGAGCGUUGUCCGGAAUUAUUGGGCGUAAAGAGCUUGUAGGUGGUUUGUCGCGUCUGCUGUGAAAAUCCGAGGCUCAACCUCGGACUUGCAGUGGGUACGGGCAGACUAGAGUGUGGUAGGGGAGACUGGAAUUCCUGGUGUAGCGGUGAAAUGCGCAGAUAUCAGGAGGAACACCGGUGGCGAAGGCGGAUCUCUGGGCCAUUACUGACGCUGAGGAGCGAAAGCGUGGGGAGCGAACAGG
rnacentral:rRNA from 1 species